rnacentral:misc_RNA from 1 species
UGGCGCUUCAUCACAGCACACUUUCUUUGCCGUCUUUGCUCUUUCUCUACCUUUACGGCAGAGGAGAGCGUGGGCACACCUCAGUGAGCGGCAUCUCGGGGUCCAGGACCCCCACUCGGUGUGGGGGUGAGAGACAGGUCGCCCCCUAUCCCUGCUAAUGUCGAAACGUCCCUGGCGGUGACAGGGCCCGGCACCCGCGGCGUGAGGAAGUCAGUGCAGUUUAGCGCUGCGGAUAUCGGCGGCCAGGCCCUGGAUGGCGUGGCGUCGGAGCGACCUGCGACAAUGCACAGGCUUGUGCCAUCCAUGUGAUGGGCAGAGUAUCAACGUGACUCGAACGCAUCUCACACCAGGCCCUCACAAUGCCUGUUGGUGUGGGGUGCCUGCACCGCCCUGAGGGGAUGCACCGCGAGGCGACCUGCGAGGCGGGUGUGGGCAGGAUUUGAGGCAGCGGGCGAUGGACACACGCUGAUUACGAAGCCCUCUGCUCUCUUAUCGUGCGAAGGCAACAUUUUCUAUCACCUUGCUUUAACGGUGCCCUUUCUCCGUGUGUGGUCGCGCACUCGUCCACGGAAGGCUAUCGCGUCUCCAACGGCCUUGCGUGUUGCCUCCAGCCCAUUCCCACUUCGCCUUGUAUCACGAUGGUCCUGCGUGGGAACGCACACAAACAUGUUGCAGCGGAGGACAACGUCGCAAAAAGAGGAGGACAACUCUCACGUGCGAGGGCGUCUCUUGUCUCUUCCUUCAUGUGCAGCCAAGCACAUUCUCCGAACUGAAGCAUCGCCGCUUCUUCCCAGUGUCCUCGGAUUAUUAGCGUUUUCGCGCGCCUGGUCGCAUCUUGUGCUGGCGGCUGUCUUGCCGCUCCGCUGUGCUCUCUGGUCGAUGUGGCGAUUCUUCAGUGGCAGCGGAGGCACCCGAAGUGCACGCUGGAAGCUAUUGCGGUGCUUGCACGCUGAGAAGGAGAGAGCGAAGAGCGCACUGAAGGGACAUGAAGGAAGUGUGCGUGUGUACGCGCGCAGCGGUCUUUCACGGCGGUUCCCUGGGUCUCCGGCCUCUUGCACACUCGCCGUCAUUGUGAAUGUUUCCUCUAGGCGCCUUUAGGUCACUGCACACGUACAAGAAACCGUGACGCGUGUGUUCUGCGGUGGCACUCGUGUGGCCCCGCUCGCCGAGGUGACGCGAACUCGUGCAUGCGUGUGAGUGUGCUUGCGCUUGUGGGUGCUUGUGCCAUCGCACGCAACGUUCUCACGCUCCGCUUUCACUGUUGUGUAUCCGUCUCCUCCACCCUCCUCGCCCUUUCACGUUUUCUUCAUAUGUUGCGCUGUUUUGUUGUUCUCUCGGCGUGUUGCAAAG